CCUAGAGGGGGACAACAGUUGGAAACGACUGCUAAUACCGCAUACGAUCUGACCUCGGCAUCGAGGAUGGAUGAAAGGUGGCCUCUAUUUAUAAGCUAUCACUGAAGGAGGGGAUUGCGUCUGAUUAGCUAGUUGGAGGGGUAACGGCCCACCAAGGCGAUGAUCAGUAGCCGGUCUGAGAGGAUGAACGGCCACAUUGGGACUGAGACACGGCCCAG
rnacentral:rRNA from 1 species